AUGGAGUCUGGCUGUACUUCUCAUAGAUCCCAUUUAAGGACUGACUAACAGUGGGAAAGGAUCUUUUUCUGGAGAUCUCUCCUUUCUGGAAUUUUCCAUUGUGAGCCUAGAUCUUUGGAUAUAGGUGUGAGUUGCCUUUUAAAGGAAGAACUGGGAAACUUGGUUCCUUCUCCAGACUCCUGAUAGUCCAGCAUGUGACAAAGACAGCACGAGCCUUGCCUGCUCUUUGGCUGAUGAAAGUCUGCACCCUAUUGCCACCUCUCAUGUGUGCCACCUCCAGAAGAGGAUGAGAUAUGAAGAUCUCAUCUAAGUUUGCUGCUGUAGUCAUUAUUUUGGAGGCUCCAAUCGCUGCUUCUCAGGAUCUUGAACUUCAGCCUACAGCCUGCCUGUCACUGUGCUGACAGGUGUUUUGAGCCCAAAUAAGUGAUACUGCAAUGAAUUUCAGAUGUAAGAAUAAUGAAGAAUGGCUAAGCUAGAAGUUUUUAAUCUGGAAAAGAAAUAAUGGAAGAAGAGAUGAUCGAUUUACAAAAUCUAGAAGCAUGAAGAGAAUGAGUAGAAAUUGAUUUUCCACUCUGUUCCAGUACAAGGUGGGAGGCAUCAGGUGAGGCUAAUGCUGGGCACCAAACAGGGCAUCAUCCCAGACAGCUGACCUGCAGAUCUCCUUGCCAAAGGAUGCUGUGGGUGCUAAAGUUUUAUGUGGGUUCAAAGACAGACAGAAGAACUGAAUUAAAUCCCCUGGGCGUACAUGGAAACCACAACUGCCUAGGGCUAGAUGAGUACUUUUCUUAUAACUGCUACUAAUUGUACUUUGAUGAGAAUGAUUCUGAGUAAAGUAGUAUUUAGUUGUGGGUGUAAGGGCUUUUACUGCAAGGUUUUAAAUACACACCAGAAUAAGGGUACAGCUGUUAUAUAAGUGUUCUGAAAAAAAAGCAUGACUGGGAAUUUCUCUCUUUUCAAGGGCCGAUGGACUGAAGUAAUGAAACCAAUUGAGUUCUACCUGUAGUCUGAGGAAGCUUCAUUUUGGAGCAUGGGUCUGCUGAUGUUUCACUUUGUAUUUAGACACCAUAUCUGUAAAUAAUUAAAAGGAAGGUGACUGAUAGCUGAUAGACACAGAUUGCUGGCUUGUGCUGUACUCUCCAGAAACAUUACAUGACCAUUCCCAGCUGUUGUUCCAGUAUGGGGUACCACCAACUGUCUCAUCCUACCACAGAGAAGUAUAGAAAUCUUCCAAAUUCUCCUGCAACAAUAAAACAACCACCACCACCAAA